GCUCGCUUUUCCUCUUUAAAUGCUGAAGGCCUCAAACCUCUUCAGAAAAAGUACAGGGCACAGAUCCUGCUGUGGCUUGUCUUUUCUUCCCAGGCAUCUCCUCAACCUCGGAAAAAUAAACUUCUAAAGUGAUUCAGACUUACCUCAGUCAUUUUACAAUUCUGUGAGCCUAUCUUUUAACUCAGCAAUUCUACAUUUUAAAAGCUAGCUUGCAGAAAUACUUCCACACGUGUGUAAAACUCUGUGUGUAGAUACCUGCGUAUUUGUUCACUGUAGCAUUGUAGGUAAUAUCGUAAUAUUAAAAAAAAUCUAAAAUGUUCACUGAUGGGCAAACAGUUAAGUAUAUUUGGUAUACCCAGACUACAGAAUUCCACAAUUUUAAUAAUGAAGCUGUUCUUUAAAUACUGACUUGGAAAGAUCUCUAAAUUAUUUUUGAGCAAAAAAUCUAACUUUUAGAGUAGGUAUGUUUUUAUUUACAUAAAAAGAAAAAUACAUGCAUUUUAAAAGGUGUCAGACGAUAUAAAUCAAACUUCAUACUUGUGAUCCACAGAGAAGGCUAGUGGAAUUCGGUAUGGGAAAAGAAACAGAUACAGAGUAUGACCAUCCUUUUUCCUGUAUUUUUGCUUUGUUUUUUAAAAAAUAACACAAAUUCACAUAUUAUUUGUGUAAAUUUGUAUGUGGGAAAUAAAACAGGUGUUCUUAACAUUUAUCUGCUCUUUAUAGAUGUUGUUUCUAAUUACUCAGGCAAAGUUGGCUCCUAAAGAAUAUAAAAUGAAGCAGAUGCAGGCCAGAAGGAAAGUCAAAGUAAGCUAAUAUUGGAUGUACAAUGCAUAUGAUAAUUAUAAAAUUUAAGUGCCCCAUUGAAAAACACAAAAGACACAAAGCAGCCAGAAGUCAGGAUAACAGAAAUUCUGAUCCUGAUUUAAAGAAAAAUACCUCUCAGCUGUUUUACCAAAACAUCUCUUAAUCUCUGUUUUCCAACAAUGGAGAAAUUGAUCAAGGAGCUGGCAGGGCAUUUGAGAUCAUCUGUCCCAUUGCUACUACCAUGAAUGGAAAAGACAAGGUUCAACCAGCUGAACAUCAUACUUGAGAGUUCUGUUAAGACCCCAGGGAAAUGGUUCUAGUUCAAGUGAUCCUGUGAUGCUGCGAACAUCAGAGUGGACUUAUACAAACCUAGACGGUAUACUCUACUACAUACUUAGGCGAUAUGAUGUAGCCUAUUGCUCCUAGGCUACCAACCUGUACAGCACGCUGGUGUACUGAAUACUGUAGGCAACUGUAACCCAUUAAAAAACUUCCAAAUGUGAAGACCUGUCCAUCCAUUAAAAGUACUGCCGUAUGGUUGCUGCCUGCAGUGACUUGUGUGCUAGGGCCUGGCAAUGCUUGAACAAGAGUGGGACAUCCCCUAGGUUAAAAAAAAAAAAUUUUCUCUUUAUCACAUGGAGAAUACUAACAAACGGUGUCUACUCCCCCAGAGUUCCUGUGAACAGUAAAGAGGCCCAUAUGUGUCAAGUACUUGGAUCAGCGUCUGGCACACAGUUAACACUUAAUGAACAGUAA